rnacentral:rRNA from 1 species
UUGGUGAGAUCUUCUUAGAGGUACGUUCAUUCUACAAGAUGAAGGAAGAUGGCGGCAAUAACAGGUCUGUGAUCCCCUUAGAUGUCCUGGGCCGCACGCGCGCUACACUGAUGCAGGCAGUAAGCCCUCCGCGGCAGAAAUGCCCCGGUAACCUUCAAACUGCAUCGUGAUGGGGAUUGACUCUUGGAAUUAUUGGUCAUCAACGAGGAAUUCCUAGUAAACGCAAGUCAUCAGCUUGCAUUGAUUACGUCCCUGCCCUUUGUACACACCGCCCGUCGCUACUACCGAUUGAAUGGCUUAGUGAGGCCUCCGGAUUGGCUAUUGGGAGCUCGCGAGAGCACCUGACUGCUGAGAAGUUGUACGAACUUGGUCAUUUAGAGGAAGUAAAAGUCGUAACAAGGUUUCCG